GAUGAACGCUGGCGGCGUGCUUAACACAUGCAAGUCGAACGAUGAAGCCCAGCUUGCUGGGUGGAUUAGUGGCGAACGGGUGAGUAACACGUGAGUAACCUGCCCUUAACUCUGGGAUAAGCCUGGGAAACUGGGUCUAAUACCGGAUAGGAGCGUCCACCGCAUGGUGGGUGUUGGAAAGAUUUAUCGGUUUUGGAUGGACUCGCGGCCUAUCAUCUUGUUGGUGAGGUAAUGGCUCACCAAGGCGACGACGGGUAGCCGGCCUGAGAGGGUGACCGGCCACACUGGGACUGAGACACGGCCCAGACUCCUACGGGAGGCAGCAGUGGGGAAUAUUGCACAAUGGGCGCAAGCCUGAUGCAGCGACGCCGCGUGAGGGAUGACGGCCUUCGGGUUGUAAACCUCUUUCAGUAGGGAAGAAGCGAAAGUGACGGUACCUGCAGAAGAAGCACCGGCUAACUACGUG
rnacentral:rRNA from 1 species